AGUGGUGGUAGAGGAGCAAAAACUAUUAGUAUGUUAUCGGAGGACGAUGAGGUCCAGUGAAGAUAGCAAAAAGGGGAAUUUGCCGAAGUUUAAAGAGAACUCAUGACUCUUUAUGCUGGACCUGCAUUAAAGAAAUGUAGGGCUGUCACACAGUCGCCCCAAUGAUUGUGUGGAGAACUAUCUCACGC
rnacentral:ncRNA from 2 species